rnacentral:lncRNA from 1 species
AAAUUAUUCGCUAAUAAUCGCCGAAAUUAUUCGCUAUUCGCUUUGUUCCGGAAAAUUCACUAUUCGUUUUACUAUUCGUAGCUGUGAAUAAUUGACUUUAAUUAUUCGCUAUUCGCGAAUAAUCGCCGAAAUUAUUCGCUAUUCGCUUCGUUCGGAAAAUUCACUAUUCGCACAGCCCUAAUGAUAUAUAUUUUAAUUUUUAAGUCAAAUUGAAACAGCUCAAUUUACCAUUUGCGACAACCAGAUUCUGUACUCAGUGUGUCUGAAUGAAUUUCAUAUUUUUUGACUAAUCUCAAGCAAAACUUCUUCAGAUUCUUGAAGUUGAGUGUUUACCUUGUGAAAAAAACAUAUUCUGUCAAGCUUCUGGAAAACAAAUAUUUUCCCGAAUCUGUUAAGAAUUUUUAGAGUUUUUGCUUGCAACUCGUCAAAAGGUUGAAAUCUGUUCAGGCACGCUGUGCAACAAGCGUAGUCUACCAACUUCUUUUCUAGGUCACUCAUACUUUUUCAUGGUAGAAAUAUUAAUCUCCUUAUGAUUUACCAGACUAUUUAGUUUUCCUGCGGUUUUGCAUGUUCAUGCUGGUGCUUGUUUUUCCAGAGUGAUGAUGUUGCUCAAUCUCUUUAUCCUUUCGUCCAUUGUGUGGCAGCUGUUCUGUGGGCGAGUAAAAGUAUCCUCAACAAUUUGUGCGAAGGAGGAAAAUCUGAUCAUAAUAAGAUUGUAACACCUCAACUUUUCAGCUUGCUCUACGAGUGGGGCUCGAAAUUGUUCUCCUCACAGUGCCUUGAAAAAAGCAGUUGAUUCAAUUCUUUGUGCUAUGUGCUUUGUGGACCCCUCACUCUUCAACACUUUCCUCACUCAGAUUGGAUUAUUGCCUGCUCUUAAUUUACUCAAAACGUAACCACCCACCGCUUAAAUAUUUUCAUUUCUUUUAUUUUUAGAGCUGUGCGAAUAGUGAAUUUUCCGAACGAAGCGAAUAGCGAAUAAUUUCGGCGAUUAUUCGCGAAU